rnacentral:rRNA from 2 species
UAGGGAAUCUUCCACAAUGGACGAAAGUCUGAUGGAGCAACGCCGCGUGAGCGAAGAAGGUUUUCGGAUCGUAAAGCUCUGUUGUGAGGGAAGAACAAGUACGGGAGUAACUGCCCGUACCUUGACGGUACCUCAUUAGAAAGCCACGGCUAACUACGUGCCAGCAGCCGCGGUAAUACGUAGGUGGCAAGCGUUGUCCGGAAUUAUUGGGCGUAAAGCGCGCGCAGGCGGUCCUUUAAGUCUGAUGUGAAAGCCCACGGCUCAACCGUGGAGGGUCAUUGGAAACUGGGGGACUUGAGUACAGAAGAGGAAAGCGGAAUUCCACGUGUAGCGGUGAAAUGCGUAGAGAUGUGGAGGAACACCAGUGGCGAAGGCGGCUUUCUGGUCUGUAACUGACGCUGAGGCGCGAAAGCGUGGGGAGCAAACAGG